GAGUGUACCUAACCACUUUCCUUCUCUUUCUGCCGAGCUACACUCCUGAGCUGCCGGUGAUCCAGUCCCCCC